CCUACGGGGGGCAGCAGUGGGGGAUAUUGCACAAUGGGGGAAACCCUGAUGCAGCAACGCCGCGUGGGGGAAGAAGGUUUUCGGAGUGUAAACCACUGUUCGUGGGGAAGAGAAUGACGGUAACCAAGGAGAAAGCUCCGGCUAACGACGUGCCAGCAGCCGCGGUAAUACGUAGGGAGCAAGCGUUGUCCGGAUUUACUGGGUGAAAAGGGUGCGUAGGCGGUCUGGCAAGUCAGACGUGAAAACCACAGGCUCAACCUGUGGACUGCGUUUGAAACUGUGGGGCGUGAGUGAAGUAGAGGUCGUCGGCCUUCCCGGUGUAGCGGUGACAUGCGU
rnacentral:rRNA from 1 species